UGAGUAUUUGAGUACAGUCAAGGGAUGCAAAAGACUAAUGAAACCAAACGUCUCGAGCAGUUUUCUGUGGGGUGGAAAGGAAGUUGCCUCGAUUAGUUCAGCCACUUGUCUCUAUAUAAUGGCAUUAAUACGCAAACCUGUACAGGAGGAACCUGAGGAACUCUCCGAUAGUGACUUUGAAAGUCCUGUGGGCUGGAGAAGGAGAGUUCAUACAGUGUCACCUUCCACAAGUGAAAGUGAGCUCAUCAGUCAAGGGAGUGAAAAUGACAGACUGCAAGAAAGUC